rnacentral:rRNA from 1 species
GUAUGGAAAAGCAAAUGUAGGCAUGAGUAACGAUAAUGCGGGAGAGUAACCCGCACACCGCAAGACCAAGGUUUCCUGAUCAACGCUAAUCGGAUCAGGGUUAGUCGGGUCCUAAGGGUAAGCCGAACGGCGAUCUCGAUGGAUAAUCGGUUAAUAUUCCGAUACUAACAUAUACCUCGAUGGAGAGACGAAGGAACGUAAGUGCCGCCACCUGACGGAAUAGGUGGUUAAAGGGCGUAGGUAUAGGGGCAGAUUAAGAGUUAGUCCUUGCUGAAACCUGACAGUACAGAGAGCCUACGGGCAAUUUGAUAGUGCACCCAAGUCGACUUCCGAGAAAAUCUUCUAAGUUAUAGUAUAUGUUACCCGUACCGUAAACCGACACAGGUGGUCGAGGAGAGUAUCCUAAGGUGCUCGAGUGAAUCACGGUUAAGGAACUAGGCAAAUUAACCCCGUAACUUCGGGAAAAGGGGUCCCAUCGCGAGGUGGGCGCAGCGAAGAGGUCCAGGCGACUGUUUAUCAAAAACACAGGGCUCUGCAAAUUCGAAAGAAGACGUAUAGGGCCUGACACCUGCCCGGUGCUGGAAGGUUAAGAGGGGAUGUCAUCGCAAGAGAAGCAUUGAAUCGAAGCCCCAGUAAACGGCGGCCGUAACUAUAACGGUCCUAAGGUAGCGAAAUUCCUUGUCGGGUAAGUUCCGACCUGCACGAAUGGUGUAACGAUCUGGACACUGUCUCAACCGUGAGCUCGGUGAAAUUGUAGUCCCGGUGAUGAUGCCGGGUACCCGCAACGGGACGAAAAGACCCCGUGAACCUUUACUAUAGCUUAACGCUGAAUUUGGGUACACAAUGUGUAGGAUAGGCCGGAGGCUUUGAAGCGGGCACGCCAGUGUUCGUGGAGCCGACGUUGAAAUACGGCCCUUUGUGUAUUUGAGUUCUAACCCCGUAAGGGAGACACCGUUUGGUGGGUAGUUUGACUGGGGUGGUCGCCUCCAAAAGCGUAACGGAGGCUUCCCAAGGUACCCUCAGCACGAAUGGUAACCGUGCGCGGAGUGCAAUAGCAUAAGGGUGCUUGACUGUGAGACAUACAAGUCGACCAGGUACGAAAGUAGGGUAUAGUGAUCCGGUGGUUCUGCGUGGACUGGCCAUCGCUCAAAGGAUAAAAGGUACUCCGGGGAUAACAGGCUGAUCGCCGCCAAGAGCUCAUAUCGACGCGGCGGUUUGGCACCUCGAUGUCGGCUCGUCACAUCCUGGGGCUGGAGAAGGUCCCAAG